rnacentral:rRNA from 1 species
UCCGCCCGCUGGCGGCGUGCUUAACACAUGCAAGUCGAACGGAAAGGCCCCUUUGGGGGUACUCGAGUGGCGAACGGGUGAGUAACACGUGAGUAACCUGCCCUUGACUUCGGGAUAACUUCAGGAAACUGGGGCUAAUACCGGAUAGGAAUCCUUGCUGCAUGGUGGGGGUUGGAAAGCUUCGGCGGUUUUGGAUGGACUCGCGGCUUAUCAGCUUGUUGGUGGGGUAGUGGCUUACCAAGGCUUUGACGGGUAGCCGGCCUGAGAGGGCGACCGGCCACAUUGGGACUGAGAUACGGCCCAGACUCCUACGGGAGGCAGCAGUGGGGAAUAUUGCACAAUGGGCGGAAGCCUGAUGCAGCAACGCCGCGUGCGGGAUGACGGCCUUCGGGUUGUAAACCGCUUUCAGCAGGGGCGAAGCUUGUGGUGACGGUACCUGCAGAAGAAGCACCGGCUAACUACGUG